rnacentral:lncRNA from 1 species
GAGGGGUUUUCAUUUAUGGAUAGAAAGAACUAAUCGGUAGUAAUAUGAUUGUUCUCUGUAGAAAAUGGGUAAGGUAUAGAGUGCUGCCAUUGAGACAUAGGCAGCAUUAGUCACUGUCAAUAUUCUCAGAGAGUUCUACUCAUUGUGAUGAAGCUUUAUAAAUCUUUGUCAUGUCUUCAGUGCAAUAGACACCCAAAUCUACUUACAUUCCAGCUCUGUCUUUUCAGGCAAUGCUACCCACAUUUAAACAUCAUGAAAUGUCAUCAAUGGAGUACUUCUCACUAUGAAAAGAAGAUGAGCUAA